rnacentral:rRNA from 1 species
CCUACGGGGGGCUGCAGUGAGGAAUAUUGGUCAAUGGACGCAAGUCUGAACCAGCCAUGCCGCGUGAAGGAUGAAGGCGUUAUGCGUUGUAAACUUCUUUUAUCAGGGAAGAAACCUCAGAUUUCUAUUUGAGCCGACGGUACCUGAGGAAUAAGCACCGGCUAACUCCGUGCCAGCAGCCGCGGUAAUACGGAGGGUGCAAGCGUUAUCCGGAUUCACUGGGUUUAAAGGGUGUGUAGGCGGGUAUUUAAGUCAGUGGUGAAAUCUCCAGGCUC